GACGAACCGUGCGAACGUUAUUCGGAAUCACUGGGCUUAAAGCGCGUGUAGGCGGGACGGCACGUCGGUCGCUGAAAGCCCCCGGCUCAACCGGGGAACGGGCGCCGAUACGACCGUCCUGGAGGGACGUAGGGGGACCUGGAACAUCCGGUGGAGCGGUGAAAUGCGUUGAGAUCGGAUGGAACGCCCGUGGCGAAAGCGAGGUCCUGGACGUUUUCUGACGCUGAGACGCGAAAGCCAGGGGAGCGAACGG
rnacentral:rRNA from 1 species